UACAGAGGCCUCGAGCGUUAGGCGGAAUCACUGGGCUUAAAGCGUGUGUAGGCGGACUUCUAAGUACCUUGUGAAAUCCCACGGCUCACCCGUGGAACUGCUCGGUAUACUGGUCGUCUUGAGCCUUCUAGGGGCGAGUGGAACAAAUGGUGGAGCGGUGAAAUGCGUAGAUAUCAUUUGGAACGCCAAUGGUGAAAACAGGUAGCUGGGAGUGUGCUGACGCUGAGACACGAAAGCCAGGGGAGCGAACGGG
rnacentral:rRNA from 1 species